GCUGGGAUGUAGCUCAGUGGCAAAGUGCUUGCCUCGCAUAUACGAAGCCCUGGGUUCAAUCCCCAGUUCCACCA
rnacentral:tRNA from 1 species